GAUGAACGCUAGCGAUAGGCUUAACACAUGCAAGUCGAGGGGCAGCAUGGUCUUAGCUUGCUAAGACUGAUGGCGACCGGCGCACGGGUGCGUAACGCGUAUGCAACUUGCCUCACAGAGGGGGAUAACCCGUCGAAAGACGGACUAAUACCGCGUACACUCCAUCUUGGGCAUCCAAGGUAGAGGAAAUGAAAUUCGCUGUGAGAUAGGCGUGCGUCCCAUUAGCUAGUUGGUGAGGUAACGGCUCACCAAGGCGACGAUGGGUAGGGGAACUGAGAGGUUGAACCCCCACACUGGUACUGAGACACGGACCAGACUCCUACGGGAGGCAGCAGUGAGGAAUAUUGGUCAAUGGGCGAGAGCCUGAACCAGCCAAGUCGCGUGAAGGAUGACUGUCUUAUGGAUUGUAAACUUCUUUUAUACGGGAAUAACAAGAGUCACGUGUGACUCCCUGCAUGUACCGGAUGAAUAAGCAUCGGCUAACUCCGUG
rnacentral:rRNA from 1 species